rnacentral:rRNA from 1 species
AUUAGCAGCUAGCCCUCUGCAACUCUCACGUGGUCGCCCACUGAAGCUAAGCAGGGCUGUGCCUGGUCAGUACUUAAAUGGGAGACCACAUGGAAAAGCUAUAGGUUGGUGCUGGAA